UCGAGAACGGCGUGGUGGUUCGUUUCGUCUCCAGCAAGGCUUAGCAGCAGGGCGUCGUUGAUUCCGCCUUCGUUCAGGCACAGCCGCAGGAAAUUUGUCUCGACAUCCCCAAAAGUCUAUAAGGAUCGUGUAGCGAAUGAGUCGUAAUAAGCCUCGUGAUAGAUGGAGUCGUUCCUCCCCGACAGAUGUUGGAACAUCUUCUCACGGAUUUUCCCGCUAUCCACGUCUGAAGGGUAGAACUUGCGCAGCCAAGCCAAGUUUAGAUCUCGCUGGAGAUACACACACACAUACACACACAAAUGUGGGCCAAUCUUGAUAGCGGCUGAUUCAAAUGGAUGAAUCCUGUACACGCCGCCCGCGUGUUAUCCAUUAAGUCGGAUCGAAAAUCGAUGGAUAGUGGUUUUCUUUUGUUUAUCUCUCGUCCGUUUCUAUGCCUACUGUUCUUUAUGUUUUUACCUACUAU